rnacentral:rRNA from 1 species
CCUACGGGUGGCUGCAGUUAGGAAUAUUGCACAAUGGGCGCAAGCCUGAUGCAGCCAUGCCGCGUGUGUGAAGAAGGCCUUCGGGUUGUAAAGCACUUUCAGCGGGGAGGAAGGCGGUGAGGUUAAUAACCUCAUCGAUUGACGUUACCCGCAGAAGAAGCACCGGCUAACUCCGUGCCAGCAGCCGCGGUAAUACGGAGGGUGCAAGCGUUAAUCGGAAUUACUGGGCGUAAAGCGCACGCAGGCGGUCUGUCAAGUCGGAUGUGAAAUCCCCGGGCUCAACCUGGGAACUGCAUUCGAAACUGGCAGGCUAGAGUCUUGUAGAGGGGGGUAGAAUUCCAGGUGUAGCGGUGAAAUGCGUAGAGAUCUGGAGGAAUACCGGUGGCGAAGGCGGCCCCCUGGACAAAGACUGACGCUCAGGUGCGAAAGCGUGGGGAGCAAACAGGAUUAGAUACCCUUGUAGUC